AAGGAACAACAACAACAGAAGAAAAGGAUAAAAACUGUUGAACGUCCCACACAACUCAAGAUUGACUUCUCUUUGAGGUGAUUAAUAAUUCGUUUUUUGUUUCUUUUUGUGUGUGUUUGUGAUUUGUUUUCUUUUUCUUGAUUGUCGUGACCUCGAAAAAGAUAGAGAAGGUACUUGUAUUUGGACGAAUUAAAAAAAAGGAAAU
rnacentral:ribozyme from 1 species